GCCUCAUCACGGGGAAACUCUCNCAGGUCCAGACACAAUCAGGAUUGNCAGANUGAGAGCUCUUUCUUGNUUUNGUGGGNGGUGGUGCAUGACCGUUCCUUAGNUNGGUGGAGUGAUUUGUNAGCUUANUNGCGAUAACGAACGAGANUUNGACUUNUAAAUAGCUAGGCUAGCUUUGGCUGGUCGCUGGCUUCUUAGAAGGACCUAUUUGCUCAAGCAAAUGGAAGUGCGAAGCAAUAACAGGUCUGUGAUGCCCUUAGAUGUUNUGGGCCGCACGCGCGCUACNCUGAUCAAGUCAACGAGUUUACAACCUUGGCCGGAAGGUCUGGGUAAUCUUUUGAAACUUGAUCGUGCUGGGGAUAGUCCAUUGCAAUUAUUGGACUUCAACGAGGAAUUCCUAGUAAGCGUGAGUCAUCAGCUCGCGUUGAUUACGUCCCUGCCCUUUGUACACACCGCCCGUCGCUACUACCGAUUGAAUGGCUUAGUGAGGCUUUCGGAUUGGAUUUUGGCAGCUGGCAACAGCAGCUAGAAACUGAAAAGUUAUCCAAANCUUGGUCAUUUAGAGGAAGUAAAAGUCGUAACAAGGU
rnacentral:rRNA from 1 species